GCCGCGGUGGUGAAAUUGGUAGACACGCUAGGUUCAGGGUCUAGUGGUCGCAAGGCUGUGCUGGUUCGAAUCCAGUCCGCGGCACCA
rnacentral:tRNA from 1 species